CUGAUAUUUCUAGGUUAAUUAGAAAAAAAAAUACUUAAGUUCAAUACAUUAUCAAGCAAGUUUGCUGAAUUGAGCUCUUUAUUAUGCAUCUUUAGAGUGAGAUGAAUAAUAUUCGAUGUCCGAGCAAUGAGAUAAGAAGGCUUCCAGAGUGGGCCGAGUUAGCAAGUGAAAAGAAGCUGGAAUGAAACGGUUGUGAAGACAAACAGGUAUUCACAAACCUGGUCCUACUACCCAGAAAUUAAAGUAAGCAGGUAUCAGAGGGCUCGUCGGUCUGGAUCUUAAAGAAACAGGUUUAUUUAUUUAUUAAUUUUUUCUUUCGAUAACCCUCUUCGCGCCUGGUGCUUUAGCCAGCACUAACAACUUAUGAAUCAACCUUGCACUCUGUAACCAUCGCAAAAAUAAUCGCAAAUGACCGUCAGAACAAUACACAAUUCGUACAUUUGCCCUCAAAAAAGUCUCUCUGGUGCAGUCAAAGUUUAUGUAUCGCUGAAAACUAUAAACUGUAGCAAUACACAUCGAUGUAAUUUCCCUUAAAACUUGCCAGCGAAUUUAAAUGCCAAUUUACACCCGAGUUUACGGAGUAUUUAAUGUACCUGCGCACACACACCAAAGGUUUGAUAGUUUAAAGCUGUACAGAUCUAAAGGCUGGUAUGUACAGAUUUCUGGUGCUGCCACUCACGUCUUGGCCUCUUGCGUGAGGAUGGAAGGAAUGACGAAAAUUUAUCAGGGUGUUGGAAUAGCUUGAGAUGAAAACGUAAAGAAAUGCACUGAGACUCGUGUGGAUAUGUUGGGAGAAAAAGAGGGUGGUAAGCGGGUAGUACGUGCCAAAGCCUGCUUUGCUUUUAUAUGUGUAUUUCAAGUACAGAAACACGGAAUGUAUGCAUCAAUGUUAUAUAUAUAUAUCUAUAUCAUAUGUAUUGAGAUAGAUACACAUAGAGAAACAGCACACAUUACUGAUGUAUUAAUGUGUGUACUUGCGACUCAGUGGAUAUACUCUAAUCUCAGUAGCGAAGCCUAAGUGAGGCCGAGCUACGCUGCUUUGCUGCAAAUGCAUUUGUGAAAUGGCUCUGUGGGUUCAACUGAUAAAUGCACAUCUAAUUUCAAGAGGUUUAUUAAGCACUGAGAUGAAGUGGUGAGCUCAAUUUACUCCAAAAAGGUAGACUAGAUAACUGAGCAGAAUGAUAGUUAGAAGGUUGGACAAUUAAAGUGGACUUAAAGGCUACUGAAAUAAUUUUAAGGGAUGUUUAUUUCGAGCAUAGAGUGUAUUUAUGAUGGAAAAAAGAAGAAAAGAAAUGAACAAAUGACGUGUCCAACAAUACAUUGGGCGAUGGGAAAUUCUCAUGUACAAUAGCGAAAGUAAUUAUUACAGUAAGCUUCGUGACCAGGUGCUCUGUGAUCGCAUGUUAUGUUAACUCUACGUAUCUUUUGCUUGAGGGAAGCAUAACGUGAUGGAGAACGAUGGAAUGUGAUAUCAAACUGGAUGAUCAAGAUUAACCAAAUGUUGCCUUUAAAUACUUCCGACACUGACUCUCUAGACUAUCAAAUAGGGAAGUUUAUGCACUUGGAUUAAUUUGAUAGAAUCACUGGGCCCCAUAAUUAGCGAAACGCUUGUUUUUGGAUUUAACUAUGUAGUGUGGAGAUUAACUGAUUUGGAAACUGAUUAAUUCAAGUCAAUCAUCAAAACUAAACCUUAAACAUUCGAUUAUUUUUUGAUCCAUAAAAUGAAAACUAUUUGAAAGCUAUCGUUUGAAAUGUUAUUUUUGUUUGUUAAAAACAUUUAAAAAUGUUUAAUCAAUAAAACAAGCUUUGAUUUAGUGAUUAUUGAGCAUUAAAAGAGUUGAUAGAUUUUUAUAAAAACAUGUUGAAUGAUGUAAUUGGACAUUUUUUAAAAUUUGAUAGGAAAUAACUAGUUGAUAGAGCUUUCAGCAUUUUAACGAGCUGUAACUUAUUAAUACCAGAUAUGUGUUUUCAAAGUUAUUCAAGCUUACAGUUUAAAAAAAAAUUGUUUUUGAUCUGUUUUAACUCUACAAACCCUUCAAUAUUUUACAAAAAAAGAUUUUUAAUUAAAAAAAAAAAU
rnacentral:lncRNA from 1 species